AUUGAACGCUGGCGGCGUGCCUAACACAUGCAAGUCGAGCGGUAACAGGUGUAGCAAUACAUGCUGACGAGCGGCGGACGGGUGAGUAACGCUUGGGAAUCUGCCUAUUAGUGGGGGACAACCCGGGGAAACUCGGGCUAAUACCGCAUACGCACUACGGUGGAAAGCCGGGGACCGCAAGGCCUGGCGCUAACAGAUGAGCCCAAGUCGGAUUAGCUAGUUGGUAGGGUAACGGCCUACCAAGGCGACGAUCCGUAACUGGUCUGAGAGGACGACCAGUCACACCGGAACUGAGACACGGUCCGGACUCCUACGGGAGGCAGCAGUGGGGAAUAUUGGACAAUGGGCGAAAGCCUGAUCCAGCGACGCCGCGUGGGUGAAGAAGGCCUGCGGGUUGUAAAGCCCUUUCAGUAGGGGAAGAAAAGCCUCGAGCUAACACCUCGGGGUCUUGACGUAACCCAUAGAAGAAGCACCGGCUAACUCUGUGCCA
rnacentral:rRNA from 1 species